GUGCUUGUUGGGACAUCACAGACACUAAAAUCGGAAUGACACAAGGAAGAUGGCAUGGCCCCCAGGGGUGACACUCAAAUUGGUGAAGUAGUUCACAUUUUU